GUUUAUAUGUAGUGGGCUAUUCGGCAGAGAGCACAAGAGUGGCGGCAAUAGUAGCAGAGCCGGGAGAGCUCUAUGGAGGUGCUGUAGAGGGACUCAAAAAUAUCUCAGGAUGGCUCAGAGAUCGAGGUAGGGAGUGCUGGAGUGCUGCAGUAGCACAUCAAUGAUAGCGUGGGGCUAAGAGAGGCUAGGCAGUACAGCAAUCGAGGGAGGUAUCUUAGGGAAAUAGCCGAAAGUGUCCUGAGUUCGGCCAGAUGGAGUGACCGUAAUGGGUAGGGACAGGCUGGGAGCGCCAGGGGCAUCUCAGGGA
rnacentral:lncRNA from 1 species